rnacentral:rRNA from 1 species
UACGUAGGGUGCGAGCGUUGUCCGGAAUUAUUGGGCGUAAAGAGCUUGUAGGCGGUUUGUCGCGUCUGCUGUGAAAAUCCGGGGCUCAACCCCGGACUUGCAGUGGGUACGGGCAGACUGGAGUGUGGUAGGGGAGACUGGAAUUCCUGGUGUAGCGGUGGAAUGCGCAGAUAUCAGGAGGAACACCGAUGGCGAAGGCAGGUCUCUGGGCCACUACUGACGCUGAGGUGCGAAAGCGUGGGGAGCAAACAGG